AUUGAACGCUGGCGGCAGGCUUAACACAUGCAAGUCGAGCGGAGACUUCGGUCUUAGCGGCGAACGGGUGAGUAAUACCUAGGAAUCUGCCUAUUAGUGGGGGAUAACGAAUCGAAAGGUUCGCUAAUACCGCAUACGUCCUACGGGAGAAAGGGGGGAGUCUUCGGACCUCUCGCUAAUAGAUGAGCCUAGGCCGGAUUAGCUAGUUGGUAGGGUAAAGGCCUACCAAGGCGACGAUCUGUAGCUGGUCUGAGAGGAUGGCCAGCCACACUGGAACUGAGACACGGUCCAGACUCCUACGGGAGGGCAGCAGUGGGGGAAUAUUGGACAAUGGGGGCGAACCCUGAUCCAGCCAUGCCGCGUGUGUGAAGAAGGCC
rnacentral:rRNA from 1 species